rnacentral:rRNA from 1 species
UACGUAGGGUGCAAGCGUUGUCCGGAAUUAUUGGGCGUAAAGAGCUCGUAGGCGGUUUGUCGCGUCUGCUGUGAAAACCCGAGGCUCAACCUCGGGCCUGCAGUGGGUACGGGCAGACUAGAGUGCGGUAGGGGAGAUUGGAAUUCCUGGUGUAGCGGUGGAAUGCGCAGAUAUCAGGAGGAACACCAGUGGCGAAGGCGACACGCUGGGCCGUACCUGACACUGAUGCGCGACAGCAUGGGGAGCAAACAGG